rnacentral:rRNA from 1 species
CCUUCUUCUUCUCUCUUUCUCCUUCUUUCCUUUUCUUCCCUCUCUUUCCUUCUUUUCUCUCCUUCUUUCUUUCCCGCUCCCAGUCUUAACCGGGAGAGGGCGUGCGAGACUGUCGGACUAGAGGCAGGUAGAGGCAAGUGGAAUUCCGGGUGUAGUGGUGAAAUGCGUAGAGAUCCGGAGGAACCCCGGUGGCGAAGGCGACUUGCUGGGCCUGAACUGACGCUCAGACGCGAAAGCAUGGGGAGCGAACGG